rnacentral:rRNA from 1 species
GACGAACGCUGGCGGCGUGCUUAACACAUGCAAGUCGAACGAGUGGCGAACGGGUGAGUAAUACGUGAGUAACCUGCCCUCUUUUUGGGAUAAGCCUUGGAAACGGGGUCUAAUACCGAAUAAAGGGGGUUGGGCUCGCGGCCUAUCAGCUUGUUGGUGGGGUGAUGGGCUACCAGGGCGGUGGCGGGUAGUCGGCCGGAGAGGGUGACCUGCGACAUUGGGCCUGGGACAGGGGCCUGAGUCAUGCGGGAGGCGGCAAUGGGGGAUAUGGGACAAUAGGCGGAAGCCGGAUGGAGCGGCGCGGCGUGGGGGCGGAAGGCUUGCGAGUUGUAAUCCUCGUUCGCUAACGAACCGUUACCAACAGAAUAAGCACCGGCUAACUUCGUGCCAGCAGCCGCGGUAAUAC